rnacentral:lncRNA from 1 species
UCUUUGCGCACGUCAAUUGCGCCGCGUGCCUUCUGUGGUCGGCGUAACCAGAUGAGGUGUAAACGUAUGCACGUUCGCCUUCACAGGAAGUGGGUGUCCCUCUUCUCCCCAUUGGCUCCGGCAUCGCACCGCCCCGAGGCAACGUCACCACGUGCUGUUGUAUAAGAAGGCUAUGGCAUUGUUCUGCCGUGGAAAGAACGCCGCCGAAGAGUCAUCGCGCGCUUCUGCAAUUUCUCGGCGCCCGACAGUUGGGCCUGCUCGCCUCGCCGUUUCCAUGCUGCGUCCGUCAAGGAGCGUCUCUCGCGGGCUUGGCACCCAACCCGUACUGUGACGACAGCUCGGUGCCCUCGUUUCGCCGAGUUCGCAGCCGUCUACCAAAAGUGCCAGAAAAGACAGCUUCCUUGGUGCGAGAACAUAACCGUAGUAUGGGAUCAGCAACGACGUCGCCACCAUGAUGAAUGCUACACGUGCACUGCACUGGCAUGCAGGGAAGUGGUGACUCUCCGCCACGCAGCUCAGGUUAUCUGUUUGAGUUGGCACUUAUGUCACACAGUGCGAAAUAAUUUAAGGAUUCUUCUGAGAGGUGCAAUUCAAGGAUGAAAUCAAUUGCCAACGCUGUCGAUUAUCUAUGAUUGGUCAGUUGAGACGCUUCGAGUCUGAGACGUAAACCCGAUUGACAAUUUUAGUUCUUUAAAGGCCGCCGUAAGGACAAAGAGCGCUCAAAUAAAGCACAGGACAGACGACAGGACUGUGCUGUUUACCGUUAUGUUGGUUACGCACUCAUUGGCCCAAGUGCUGUUUUAAAGGCUGGAGGUUGUAAUUUUAUAAAAUUACGCACGGAAUUAUUGAAGACUGCGAGAAAGAUAGAUUACGGAUCAGAUCUGCGAACUGGUAAAUCUUACAGGUUUACAUUUUUCGCGCUUAUACAUUACCACGAUAAAAUAUACUUUGUGUCAUUUACGUGCUUCAUUUACCUACGUGUCGUUUGUACCUGGAAUAGCCACCUACUUGCCUGCCCUAACGUCUCUACCGAGGCACGAUAGAGGUUUGCUGUGCCCAGUUCAUUUGUAACGCUUUCUGUUUGCGCCGGGCAACGCAAUUUCUUGUCUAUGGUACAUUCGCGAAAGGCAAACAGAACACAAAUAACUCCGUCCACUCAUUCCUCCUUUGUCCCGCGAGUGCUUCACACUUGCCUCCAGAGGCGUAACGAAUCAUUUUUUUUUCUUCAGUUGCAUUGGCUGACUGUAAUCAACCGGUGGAAGGUCAGCGACACUACAAAUUAGUUCGAACGGCCUCCUCAAUGUCUCACGUUUCUCUCUUAUUUCCACAUGUGAUUUUUUUUUUUUUAUUUCUUUUUCCACAGGCACGUCUGGCGUACGUACGCAUUUCGCCCUUCUCUCAGUUCAUGCCGUGAACUUCAAGCUGCAGCCUCGCGCUUCUGGAGUGGCUCGAGCUGAGCCUAAGCCAGGUGGUGGGAAGGCACGACGCGAUUCGCCGCGCCUGCACGCACCAGGCACCCUGACGAGCAGUCGCUGGCCAUGUCACAAGAGUGGCGUUCGCUUUCUUGUGCGUGUGACAGCGGCUAUUGGAGAGUGCCCUCAGCUUCGCGAGAGACUUCAGCGGCGCCACCGCCACCCUUGCCUUGGCAAGCUGUCUCACUGAUGCCCACGUGUGACAACCCUCGCACUGCCGCUAUCAUCCUUUGUGUUGGCCUUAUGUGCAGCCUUCGUCAGAAAAAGUGGAGCCACUAUGACUCUAAACUCUGAAAAACCUGCAUGCCCUUUUGGAUGUAUUUUUGCAACAGAACGGUUAUUGGGA